GGGAAUCUUCCGCAAUGGACGAAAGUCUGACGGAGCAACGCCGCGUGAACGAAGAAGGCCUUCGGGUCGUAAAGUUCUGUUGUUAGGGAAGAACAAGUACCAGAGUAACUGCUGGUACCUUGACGGUACCUAACCAGAAAGCCACGGCUAACUACGUGCCAGCAGCCGCGGUAAUACGUAGGGGGCAAGCGUUGUCCGGAAUUAUUGGGCGUAAAGCGCGCGCAGGUGGUUCCUUAAGUCUGAUGUGAAAGCCCACGGCUCAACCGUGGAGGGUCAUUGGAAACUGGGGAACUUGAGUGCAGAAGAGGAAAGUGGAAUUCCAAGUGUAGCGGUGAAAUGCGUAGAGAUUUGGAGGAACACCAGUGGCGAAGGCGACUUUCUG
rnacentral:rRNA from 1 species